rnacentral:rRNA from 1 species
GUAGUAUCGCAUGAUAUAGCAUUAAAGGAGCAAUUCGCUAUAAGAUGGACCCGCGUCGCAUUAGCUAGUUGGUGAGGUAAUGGCUCACCAAGGCGACGAUGCGUAGCCGACCUGAGAGGGUGAACGGCCACAUUGGGACUGAGACACGGCCCAGACUCCUACGGGAGGCAGCAUG